AUCUCAUUUGAGCCAGUGGUGAUAUGUCCCCAAUACUAAGCAUGAUGCAACAGUGGUGUGUAAAGUUUGGUAGGUAGAGGUCACAAAUUCAAAUAACUUCAGGAACCAAACAGGGAUAAGUUGAACUGUGAAAUUAUAAGGAAGAGUAGGAAUUGUAUGCAAUGUUAUGAGCCAGAGAAUGCAUGUCUUGUCUAAAGGCAAAGUUUUCUAAAGCACUGUUCUAGGCUUACAAAACCUGAAUCUAGAGGCAGAAUUUAGUUUGACCGCUAUUUCAACACCGCUAACUAAACAGCUUAUUUACAACAGGAAUAGGACUUAGAAAAAACUAAAAAUGAUCUUCUAACCCUUCAAUUCCAGACUCUUCCUUCAGAAUGCAAUUUCUCAUCCUGGCUGGCCUUCUGGGCGCUGCCACUGCUCUGCCCAUCCCUAUAGGCAACUGCUUUUCAUUUUGAAAGUGAAGGUUCACCACCGGUGGGCAUACUGCCGAAUAGUGGCCUGUUCCCUAUUCUCGCAAAAUCUCUGUAAUGAACACUGUAUUGCCAUAUGUUGCUUCACCUGGUUGCUGUUGUUGUUUUACAAGCUUGAACAAUUCGGAGGAAGUUCCAGUGAACAGAUACUUGGCUUUUACCCACCACCAGGACCACCAUUUUUUCCUCCGAUCCUGUUCCCCCCACUUCUCCCUCCACAACUGCCCUGGGUAAACAUAGGUUUGAGGGAUCUCAAAUUAUAAAAAAUAUGUAUUACUUAGAUGAUAGUUAUUAACUUUCCCAAAUUUUCAUACUCAAAUAUGAGGCUUUAAGAGGUUGCCAGGCUUCAGCUCUUCACACCCCUUUCCCGCUCUGAAUAUUCAGUGACUUCUUCCAAUGGCUUUACUUGCCAUCAAAAAGGUGUUCAGACUGAAUUCCUUUGACUAUGAUGAGCCUAGCUGCUCUUCAUGAAGACAAUACUAACCUCUUUUAAUAUCUUUUUUCUAAAUUAUCUUACUGCUUUUUUCUCAAAGUUUUUUUUCCCCCAGCUCUCUGUAACUUUUUCUCGCAGGUGAAACAACAUAAUUAUUUUGCUCUUCCUGUUCCUCUCCAAUCUCUCAUAGUAUCUGGAUUCUUGUAACAUUGUUAAAUAAAGACCAGAAAAGUGCUAAAUACAUAAUAGAAUUUCCUUCACUCUCUAUGUAAUACUUAAACUGGUACAGACAGAUAGCAUUCAUUCGAUUAAUAUUUACUCAGUGUCUACUGCUUGAUAGAGUCUCUAGUGAGGGCUGGAAAUACAAAAACUAUGAGAUAAGUUCACAAUCGGAUAAGAGAGAGAUUCAUAAAUGUAAAAAUGUAAGUUGAUAAGUGCUUCUAGAUGUAAAUACAAAGUUGACUUGGGCUGUGAUCAAAGACUUCAUUCACAGAGGACACAUGAUCUGAGCCUGGUCCCAAGGGCGGAGGAGUUGGUCGGGCACGGCAGGCGGAGGGAACUGCCAAGUGUGUGGGACGGACCUGAAAGCGACAGGACAAUUUGGGAGAAUGAUUGGUACGAUGAGGCUGCAACACAGACUGGAGACAUGUUAAACUUGGACACUAUUUAAGCAAUGAUAUUUUGAAAAGUUCACACACAUUUUAAAAUAGUAUCUUGGGGCGCCUGGGUGG